rnacentral:rRNA from 1 species
GAUCAUGGCUCAGGAUGAACGCUAGCGGCAGGCCUAACACAUGCAAGUCGAGGGGCAUCGGGAUUGAAGCUUGCUUCAAUUGCCGGCGACCGGCGCACGGGUGCGUAACGCGUAUGUAACCUACCUAUAACAGGGGCAUAACACUGAGAAAUUGGUACUAAUUCCCCAUAAUAUUCGGAGAGGCAUCUCUCCGGGUUGAAAACUCCGGUGGUUAUAGAUGGACAUGCGUUGUAUUAGCUUAG